GAUGAACGCUGGCGGCGUGCUUAACACAUGCAAGUCGAACGGAAAGGCUCCUGCUUGCAGGGGAACUCGAGUGGCGAACGGGUGAGUAACACGUGGGUGAUCUGCCCUGCACUUCGGGAUAAGCCUGGGAAACUGGGUCUAAUACCGGAUAGGACCACAUUUUGGAUGGUGUGGUGGAAAGUUUUUCGGUGUGGGAUGAGCUCGCGGCCUAUCAGCUUGUUGGUGGGGUAAUGGCCUACCAAGGCGUCGACGGGUAGCCGGCCUGAGAGGGUGUACGGCCACAUUGGGACUGAGAUACGGCCCAGACUCCUACGGGAGGCAGCAGUGGGGAAUAUUGCACAAUGGGCGCAAGCCUGAUGCAGCGACGCCGCGUGGGGGAUGACGGCCUUCGGGUUGUAAACUCCUUUCGCUAGGGACGAAGCGCAAGUGACGGUACCUGGAGAAGAAGCACCGGCUAACUACGUG
rnacentral:rRNA from 1 species